rnacentral:rRNA from 1 species
GACAGAGGGUGCAAACGUUGUUCGGAAUUACUGGGCGUAAAGCGCGUGUAGGCUGCUCGGAAAGUCGGAUGUGAAAGCCCUGGGCUUAACCUAGGAAGUGCAUUCGAAACUUCUGGGCUGGAGUCCUGGAGAGGAAGGCGGAAUUCUCGGUGUAGAGGUGAAAUUCGUAGAUAUCGAGAGGAACACCGGUGGCGAAGGCGGCCUUCUGGACAGUGACUGACGCUGAGACGCGAAAGCGUGGGGAGCAAACAGG